CUUCAAGACCGUUCGAACGGCGAGUGGCGCCAGCUCGGGUGUACACUUCAACUCGACCUCGAUCACCAAGUCGAAAGACGGCGGUUUUUCCGCUCGUUGUCCAGUUUCGAGCGUGACAUUCAACGGGUUCGGGGUUGAAGCAGGUAUCUGGAGAAGGAGAAAGGGAAGGUGUUCUUGGGUAAGGGUCAUCGACAGACGAGAGGAACGAAAGAGGUCGACUGGAUUCAAACGGUCCUGUCCAGCAAGGAUCAUCAGUUAUCUAGCAGUUUGCCUCCCUAAGGCAGGAACAUCUAAUAAUUCUAAUAAUUCUGAGACUUCAAGGAUGAAUGCUUGAACCACCUGCAAGACCAGCUCUUGCUCGUAAUGUAAAUUUUCGAAGAGGUGUUCGUUCACGCUGUUGACGAGACGACGCAGUCUGAGGUACAUGAAACGUUGCUCGUCCCUCCAGGAGUUGUCCUCGG